rnacentral:rRNA from 1 species
UGGCGGACGGGGGAGUAAUGUCUGGGAAACUGCCCGAUGGAGGGGGAUAACUACUGGAAACGGUAGCUAAUACCGCAUAACGUCGCAAGACCAAAGAGGGGGACCUUCGGGCCUCUUGCCAUCGGAUGUGCCCAGAUGGGAUUAGCUAGUAGGUGGGGUAAAGGCUCACCUAGGCGACGACCCCUAGCUGGUCUGAGAGGAUGACCAGCCACACUGGAACUGAGACACGGUCCAG